UCCAUGGAGGAUUAGUGGCUAAGCCUUGGUGCUCUUGACGCUGCAGCCUGGGUUCGAUCCCUGGCCAGGGAA